GCUGUGAUGGCCGAGUGGUUAAGGCUUUGAAAUCCAAUGGGGUUUCCCCGCAUAGGUUCGAACCCGGCUCUCAGCG